rnacentral:rRNA from 1 species
GACGAACGCUGGCGGCGUGCUUAACACAUGCAAGUCGAACGGAAAGGCCUCUUUCGGGGGGUACUCGAGUGGCGAACGGGGGAGUAACACGUGAGUAACCUGCCCUCUACUCUGUGAUAACUUCUGGAAACUGGGGCUAAUACCGGAUAGGAGCUCCUGCGGCACGGUGGGGGGUGGGGAGUUUCGGCGGUUGGGGAUUGGCUCGCGGGGUAUCAGGUUGUUGUGGGGGUGUUGGCUUACCAAGGGCUUGACGGGUAGCCGGCCUAAGAGGGUGACCGGCCACAGUGGGGCCGAGAAACGGCCCAGACUCCUACGGGAAGCAGCAGUGGGGAAUAAUGCACAAUGGGUGGAAGCCCGAUGCCGCAACGCCGUGUGCGGGAUGACGGCCCUCGGGUUGUAAACCGCUUUCGCCCAUGACGAAGGUUUGUGUGACGGUAGUGGGUAAAGAAGCACCGGCUAACUACGUG